AGAUCACUUAUCGUGUGCGAACUUGUGGACGUGCGUGAGUUUCGGCCUCGCUGUUUGCAUGUUUGUGCGCUUUGGGUGUACUUUUUCGUAUGGUAGGCCAACGUCAGUUUCGAUUAUCAUAAAAUGACCGGCGGAAUGUAGCUUCGACUUCGGUUGAAGUGUUAUAGCCUCUGGUAGAUGUGGUGAUUGGGACUGAGGAUUGCAACGAAUACCCUUUGGGCUAUCCGUCUGGCCUCUGAAAGUUGCUCAGGUACCGAAAGCGUGCUUACGGUCAUCUAAGGUAACGUUCAACAGGUUAGAACGUGAUUAUAUUCGUUAAGGACGUUGGCGUA
rnacentral:rRNA from 1 species